UACGUAGGUCCCGAGCGUUGUCCGGAUUUAUUGGGCGUAAAGCGAGCGCCGGUGGUUUAUUAAGUCUGGUGUAAAAGGCAGUGGCUCAACCAUUGUAUGCAUUGGAAACUGGUAGACUUGAGUGCAGGAGAGGAGAGUGGAAUUCCAUGUGUAGCGGUGAAAUGCGUAGAUAUAUGGAGGAACACCGGUGGCGAAAGCGGCUCUCUGGCCUGUAACUGACACUGAGGCUCGAAAGCGUGGGGAGCAAACAGG
rnacentral:rRNA from 1 species